UUUAUUACCGGAAGUUUCUUAGUGGCGAACGGGUGAGUAACGCGUUGGUGAUCUGCCCCGAAGAGUGGGAUAACUCCGGGAAACUGGAGCUAAUACCGCAUGUGGUCAUGGUUUUUAGAAAGCCAUGACUAAAGGACUUCGGUCCGCUUCGGGAGGAACCUGCGUCCCAUCAGCUAGUUGGUAGGGUAACGGCCUACCAAGGCUAAGACGGGUAGGGGACCUGAGAGGGUGACCCCCCACAAUGGUACUGAAACACGGACCAU
rnacentral:rRNA from 1 species